UGGCUCUCGCAUCGAUGAAGAACGCAGCGAAAUGCGAUAAGUAAUGUGAAUUGCAGAAUUCAGUGAAUCAUCGAAUCUUUGAACGCACCUUGCGCCUCCCGGUACUCCGGGAGGCAUGCCUGUUUGAGUGUCAUUAAUCUAUCGAAACCUUUUUUGUUUCGGACUUUGGGGGUUGCAGAGAAAAUCUGCUCCUCUUGAAAUGCAUUAGCGGUGAAACUGAAAAAGUCCCCGGCGUGAUAACUAUCAUCGUCGUCGCUUCCAGGAGCCCGCUUACAACCACCCCACUUUGACGAUUCGACCUCAAAUCAGGUAGGACUACCCGCUGA
rnacentral:misc_RNA from 1 species